AAUACGACUAUGAAGAACAAGAAUUAUAUGCGGACAUUGAUGAUUACCCCGAUUCACCGUCAAGGAUAUCAUCGUAUUCAUAACGAUCGUUAUGGAGGAAACGAAGUGCUCAAUAUGGGAAUCAACAUGGGAAACCCCUCGCAUGGCAAAACACGGCCACUAUGAGCACAGAGCAAGCGCACUGUAACCGACAGCCUGACUCCAUGCAGUAAUGGGAACAUGAAAGAAAAGAACAUGAAGUGUGGUAGUGUCCGCCCACAAUGUCACGGAACGCGCACGUCUCUUAAGGGACCCUACUCAACAACGGGAAGACGUAGAUGCAGGAGAAGAAGAAGCAGAAGAAAAA